rnacentral:misc_RNA from 1 species
UCCGUCGUAACAACAUCGCUA